CAGCCGCCGCGGUAACACGAAGGGUGCAAGCGUUAAUCGGAAUUACUGGGCGUAAAGCGUGCGUAGGCGGUGAGUUAAGUCUGCUGUGAAAUCCCCGGGCUCAACCUGGGAAUGGCAGUGGAUACUGGCUCGCUAGAGUGUGUCAGAGGAUGGUGGAAUUCCCGGUGUAGCGGUGAAAUGCGUAGAGAUCGGGAGGAACAUCAGUGGCGAAGGCGGCCAUCUGGGACAACACUGACGCUGAGGCACGAAAGCGUGGGGAGCAAACAGGAUUAGAUACCCCGUAGUCCCUGUCUCUUAUACC
rnacentral:rRNA from 1 species